AGAGUGAACGCUGGCGGCAGGCCUAACACAUGCAAGUCGAACGGCAGCACAGUAAGAGCUUGCUCUUAUGGGUGGCGAGUGGCGGACGGGUGAGGAAUACAUCGGAAUCUGCCUAUUUGUGGGGGAUAACGUAGGGAAACUUACGCUAAUACCGCAUACGACCUACGGGUGAAAGCGGAGACCUUCGGGCUUCGCGCAGAUAGAUGAGCCGAUGUCGGAUUAGCGUAGUUGGGUAGGGGUAAAACGGCCCCAACCGAAGGCCGAACGAUCCCGGUAAGCCUGGUCUGAGAGGAUGAUCAGCCACACUGGACUGAGACACGGUCAGACUCGACGGGAGCAGCGAGUGGGAAUAGUGGAACAAGUGG
rnacentral:rRNA from 1 species